GACGAACGCUGGCGGCGUGCUUAACACAUGCAAGUCGAACGGAAAGGCCCUGCUUUUGUGGGGUGCUCGAGUGGCGAACGGGUGAGUAACACGUGAGUAACCUGCCCUUGACUUUGGGAUAACUUCAGGAAACUGGGGCUAAUACCGGAUAGGAGCUCCUGCUGCAUGGUGGGGGUUGGAAAGUUGCGGCGGUUGGGGAUGGACUCGCGGCUUAUCAGCUUGUUGGUGGGGUAGUGGCUUACCAAGGCUUUGACGGGUAGCCGGCCUGAGAGGGUGACCGGCCACAUUGGGACUAAGAUACGCACCAGACUCGUACGGGAGGCAGCAGUGGGGAAUAUUACACAAUGGGCGGAAGCCUGAUGCAGCAACGCCGCGUGCGGAAUGCCGGCCUUCGGGUUGAGAACCGCUUUCGCCUGAGACGAAGCGGGAGUGACGGUACUGAGUAAAGAAGCACCGGCUAACUACGUG
rnacentral:rRNA from 1 species